GUUGGGGUAGUUUAAAUAAAACGCCUAUUUUACACGUAGGAAAUGAUCACAGGUCCUCUAAUA
rnacentral:tRNA from 1 species